rnacentral:rRNA from 1 species
CCCUUAGAUGUUCUGGGCUGCACGCGCGCUACACUGAUGCGAUCAACAAGUUUUUCCUAUGUCGAUAGACACGGGUAAUCUUUUGAACUCGCAUCGUGAUGGGGAUAGAUUAUUGUAAUUAUUAAUCUUCAACGAGGAAUUCCUAGUAGGUGCAAAUCAUCAGUUUGCAUCGAUUACGUCCCUGCCCUUUGUACACACCGCCCGUCGCUGCUACCGAUUGGUUGAUCUGGUGAAUUAUUCGGUCUGCCGGCUGAAGGGGUUUCCUCAUCUGCCAGCGGAAAGUCUUGUUAACCCUAUCAACUAGAGGAAGCAGAAGUCGUAACA